GCAAACUUGGUCAUUUAGAGGAAGUAAAAGUCGUAACAAGGUUUCCGUAGGUGAACCUGCGGAAGGAUCAUUAUUGAAUUCGUCUUUGAAGCUGUUGCUGGCUCCUCCGGGGUAUGUGCACGCUUCAUAAGUCAUUUCAACCACCUGUGAACCUUUUGUAGUCUUGGGUGAUGCUACUCUUCAAAGGAAACUUUGGAUUUGAAUGCUGCAGGCUUGAAAAAGUCGGCUUCAUUCUGCAGCUGAACCCGGGUCUAUGCUUUACACACCCUUUGUAUGUUUUAGAAUGUGAUGCAAGGGCUUUAUCGCCUUUAAAUCUCAAUACAACUUUCAGCAACGGAUCUCUUGGCUCUCGCAUCGAUGAAGAACGCAGC
rnacentral:misc_RNA from 1 species